rnacentral:tRNA from 4 species
GGCGCUAUCGUCUAGUGGACUAGGACGCCAGGUUUUCAUCCUGGAAACAGGGGUUCAAUUCCCCUUGGCGCUACCA